UACGUAGGGGGCAAGCGUUGUCCGGAAUCAUUGGGCGUAAAGCGCGUGUAGGCGGCCAGAAAAGUCCGCUGUGAAAACUCGAGGCUCAACUUCGAGCUGUCGGUGGAAACUAUCUGGCUAGAGUCCGGAAGAGGAGAAUGGAAUUCCUGGUGUAGCGGUGAAAUGCGCAGAUAUCAGGAAGAACACCCGUGGCGAAGGCGGUUCUCUGGGACGGUACUGACGCUGAGACGCGAAAGCGUGGGGAGCGAACAGG
rnacentral:rRNA from 1 species